rnacentral:rRNA from 1 species
UACGUAGGGGGCUAGCGUUGUCCGGAAUCAUUGGGCGUAAAGCGCGUGUAGGCGGUUCGGUAAGUCCGCUGUGAAAGUCGGGGGCUCAACCCUCGGAUGCCGGUGGAUACUGUCGGACUAGAGUACGGAAGAGGCGAGUGGAAUUCCUGGUGUAGCGGUGAAAUGCGCAGAUAUCAGGAGGAACACCGAUUGCGAAGGCAGCUCGCUGGGACGUUACUGGCGCUGAGACGCGAAAGCGUGGGGAGCAAACAGG